rnacentral:tRNA from 1 species
AGGGAUGUAGCUCAGAGGUAGAGCUCUUGCCUUGGGUUCAAUUCCCAGCAUUGCCA